UAAAAAUGUUUCCACCCUAACAUGGACAUAAUGUGAGGGCAGAUUAGAUGGACCAUGACAAUGAUGUAAUGAAGGGGGUGACAGGAAAGGUGUGUCAGAAAGGCCGCCAGUCCUGGAGGUGUCAGUCACCACACCUCAGGAGGACGGCAGGAAAGUUUGAUGUCUGGCAGAGGCGGGGUGAGGCAGGGGGCAGCAGCGGGACAGGAGGAAGGAGCCAGGGACAGUGCACGGGGAGGAGGAGAAUAGAGCCCACACUGCUGAGGAGACGAGGCUCACACCUGUGUGUAUGAGAAGUGUGCAGCCUGCCAGGGAUGUGCAGCCUCAUCCCAUUCUAGGAUCCAGCCUGCUGUGUGAGGACAGCCGCGCCGUGUGUACCAUGCCAUAAGAAGUCCGUGUACACAGCACACCCCUCACACUUUCUCCCAGCCAGUGACUACACGGUGACUGCUGCUCUCCCUCUGCUAUAGGAGCACAACCAUGAGGCUGAAGCCCGGCUUCCUCCUCCGCAGCCUGCUGGUACUGGCCACUUUCCUGGCUCUGCUCAUCCUCUGGUCCUCCGUCUCCUCCGGCCGGACGGAGCCCCCGCACUCGCAGCUGCCCCGGGAAGAGAAUGCAAAUUUCCCCCAGCCUGGAAAAUUAGAAAAUGACUUAGCCCCGAAAAAUGAAUUCCAGCCUGUUGUGCCAUGGCCCCGUGUGGAGGGUGUAGAAGUAGACCUUGAGUCUAUCCGCAGGAAGAACAAAAUCCAAAAUGAUCAGGACCGCCUGGAUGGGAAAGUUAAUAAUCAGCAAAACGUUAUGCAGCGGCAGUUUCUUACCUUUAAGCCCCAGAAACAUGUUUAUCCAUAUCCAGUGCUUCGGCAGGGAGUUCUGGGCAAUUUCGAACCUAAAGAACCUGAACCCCAGGGUGUUGUUGGUGGACCAGGAGAAGGAGGAAAGGCAUUCAUUUUGGGGUCCGACUACAAAGAGUCCGUCCAGGCCAGCAUUAAAGAAUUUGGAUUUAACAUGGUUGCCAGUGACAUGAUCUCAUUGGACCGAACAAUCAACGACUUGCGUCAUGAAGAGUGCAAGUACUGGAAUUAUGAUGAGAACUUGCUGACAUCCAGUGUGAUCAUUGUUUUCCACAAUGAAGGCUGGUCAACACUCAUGAGGACCGUUCACAGUGUUAUCAAGAGGACCCCCAGAAGAUACCUGGCUGAGAUUGUAAUGAUCGAUGAUUACAGUAACAAAGAACAUUUAAAGGGGCGGCUGGAAGAUUAUAUCAAGCAAUGGAAUGGGCUGGUAAAGGUAUUUAGGAAUGAACGAAGAGAGGGACUUAUACAAGCAAGAAGCAUUGGUGCCCAGAAAGCUAAACUAGGACAAGUUUUAAUUUACCUAGAUGCACACUGUGAAGUGGGAAUCAAUUGGUAUGCUCCUUUAAUAGCUCCCAUAGCGGAAGACAGAACUGCUUGUACUGUCCCUCUAAUAGAUUACAUUGAUGGCAAUGUUUAUACCAUUGAGCCACAGCAAGGUGGGGAUAGCGAUGGUUUUGCUCGAGGGGCCUGGGACUGGAGUAUGUUAUGGAAACGAAUUCCAUUAAGCGACAGAGAAAAGGCCAAACGAAAGCAUAGAACUGAACCUUAUUGGUCUCCUGCCAUGGCCGGAGGAUUGUUUGCAAUCGAGAGAGAUUUCUUCUUCGAGUUGGGUCUUUAUGACCCAGGUCUUCAGAUCUGGGGAGGAGAGAACUUUGAAAUUUCAUACAAGAUCUGGCAGUGUGGAGGAAAGUUAUUAUUUACACCUUGUUCACGUGUAGGACACAUCUAUCGUCUGCAUGGGUGGCAAGGAAACCCACCCCCAGUUUAUGUGGGAUCAUCACCAACACUGAAGAACUAUGUUAGAGUUGUGGAAGUUUGGUGGGAUGAAUACAAAGACUAUUUCUACGCCAGUCGUCCUGAAACAAAAGCUCUGGCCUUUGGAGACAUAAGUGAGCUGAAAAAGUUCAGAGAGGACCACAACUGCAAAAGCUUUAAAUGGUUCAUGGAAGAAAUAGCUUAUGAUAUCCCUGCACAUUACCCACUACCACCUAAAAACGUGGAUUGGGGAGAGAUAAGAGGCUUAGAUUCCAACUACUGCAUUGACAGCAUGGGUCAUACAAAUGGAGGAUUGGUGGAACUUGGUCCCUGCCAUAGAAUGGGUGGCAACCAGCUUUUCCGGAUUAAUGAAGCCAACCAGUUGAUGCAGUAUGACCAAUGUCUGACUAAAGGGCAGGACGGCACAACAGUCAUGAUCACACAUUGUAAUCUGAAUGAAUACAAAGAAUGGCAAUAUUUUAAGAAUAUGAACAGAUUUACCCAUAUCCCUUCUGGAAAAUGCUUGGAUCGCUCUGAGGUUCUUCACAAAGUGUUCUUGUCAGACUGUGACUCCAGCAAAUCAUCACAAAAGUGGGAAAUGAACAACAUUCUUAGUGUGUAAAGUGGAAGACCAAGACGCAAAGACGAACUUGAGGCUGAAGACAGCCUGGAACGUGUUGCAAUGAAGAACUUUAUGCAGCAAACGCCCUUCAAGAUGAAAUGAAGGAGAAAGAAGACCUACAGGAUUACAACGGGGUCAUCCUGCAGUUAAUGUUUACAAGACUGCUUUUACCUUAAACUUUUUACACGUUUACAUCAUCUUGAUUCAAGAUAAUGUUCGUAAAAGUGCUUCUAGCUCUGUUUGUAGGAACAAAGCUAAAGACAAUAAUUUUUUGGGAUUAUUCUCAGGGGCUGGAAGGUAGUUUUUAAAACACACUUGAAAAUCAAUUGAAUUAUGUGUCUCGGUGAUUAACUAGAUUUCCAUUUGAUUUUUCGUUUUCUUUUCCAAAGCACUGCCACAAUUUGUUUUCGCAAUGGUGGCCUUUGUCCGUGCUGCUGUUUUGAAUGGGAAAAUCUGAAAAAAAUCUUAGUGCCUCUUUAUUUCCUUUGUAUAGUUCUAUAUGAUGACCAUGUGUUAUCAAUGGAAGCCAAUGGGUGAUCGAUGAAUGUUUGAUGAAUAUAAGGAUGCAUAUAGAGUGUAAGGGAACCUUCUACUGGCUGGGUGCCCUAGCCACAUGACAAGGCCAUACUGUUCCUUUAAGGGGAGAUUUGUCAGACAUGUGGUCCCCUAUAAACAGUUAUCAUUGACAUACUCUAAAGGUACAACGUUUGAUAUUUUUGAUUUAUGAAAAUGGUAAUAUGUUAUAGCCUUGCUAAGUCUACUACCCACACUCCAAAAGUGUCUUCAUACUCCACAUAGUGCAAGAACCAGAAUGGCACAAUUUUAUGGUUAGUGACACAAUAUAUUCCCAUUGUGGUGUUUUAUGACACUGGAAAGGUUUAGGUUAUGGGCUUCAAUUACUCUCAGGUUUAACUGUCUCUUAAGUAAAUACAUUGGAGUGACUGACACAGGAUCAGCCAUCGUUAUUGUCCAUACAUGAUAUGUGGAGAGUGUCAUUCUUCUUAGGAGGUCCAAAUAAUCCUACUAAGUUAGUAACUGCCACCGUAUGGCUUUUUCCCCUUUCAUUUGGUAUCUGGUUCUCCUAUUGAGGUCACAUCCUUUUUGAAGUUUCCAGGGAUGGGAACGCAUUGGACGCUGCUUAAUGUAUUUUGAAGACACAGGUAUACUUUGCCUAAAAAUAAAAAGCUGCUGAUAACUGAUGGAGGCGUUAAAUCUGUAACAUGAAGGACUAAUACAAUGAGCUACUCUUCAAAAGCAAACGCUACGAUUAGUUUAUGAUAGGUCCAUAAAGGUUGGGUUGGACCGGAAAGUGUGCUUGUACCAAUUGGAUUCCAGCACCUUAUUCCACAAUGAUAUACAGCCAUACCUUUUAACAUGGAAGAGAUUUCAAUAAAACACGUUUAGUUCUGUGAUUUUUUAUUUCUUUUAUUUUAUGGUAAAUGUCACUUCAUUCUUGCUGAUAUUUUUUUCCUUAAUUCCAGGCCAAUGGUAUAUUUUGUACUACAAUUAUUGUAUUGCUGAAGGUAUUUGUACCUAUCCUUUAUCUCAGUUGUUAUUGUUCCUGUUCCACAUUUUGUCAUAUGUGCUUGUUAUGCAAUGAUACAGCGACAUUGUCUGAACACGUGAUGAUUGGCAAGCAGUAUACUCAUUCAGCAUAUAGGAAAGGUUUGUCCCUUGUCACAUCAUGUUUUGUAGCACAAAUGACAGGGUCAUCACAAUAGGACAGUCUAAUGAUCUAAAAUGAUAGUAGCUCAGAUCAGUCAAACUAGUUAAUACUGUUUGCACAUGUUCUAAUACUUUCAGUGAGAUAUUGCAGCUGUUGGCGUAUACAUGUAGCUAUACUGUCAUGUAUGACCACUGGAGGCCACUGGAAUGUGUGGUCUUCAUGUAACAAUAAACCAUUAUGAUGCCUAGAGAUAUAGUGAAAAUGGCCAAUGCAAUUCAAUACUCCACUGUGUGCCAAUGUCCUCAUCUGACUGGCAGUAUCAUCUGUACUAUCUAACAUUGUUGCUUUGUAUAUAAUAUUUAAUAAGUUCAGCUAACGGGUGCAUUUACACGUAGAGGAACUGCUGCAUAUUUUCUGCUGUUGACAAAAUCAGUUGCAAAAAACAGAUCCUGCACGUGUGACUGUACCCGUUAAGUAGAAGUAAUAGUUAACUAUCCAUGGCAAGGUAUUGUGCUUGUAAUUUAUUUAUUUAUUGAGGGUUUUGAACACAUUAGAAGCCAAUUUUUUUUCUCUGUUGACUGUACACAUUUGUUAAAACCGUCUUAUCAAAAUGUACAGGUUUUUUAGAAUCUAUGACUAAAAACACUAUUGCCAAAUUGUUUGAUAUGUAUACACAUAAUCUGUAUACACGUAAUCAUGAAAUGUAAAAGUGUACCUUCAGGUGGAACAUACCACUUGGAUUAAUAUUCUCUUAAAGGGAACAUGUCAGCAUUUUCAUGCUGCCUGAACGAUAGGGAGCAUGAUCCCAAUGCACUUUUACUCUAAAAAAAAGUUGGAUGUUUAAGAAAGCCACCGGGAGCUGAGCAAGAAGUCAAGUGGGACAGCCCCCCCCCCCGCUGUCCGUGAGUGACACAUGUCUCCCUAUGUGUGUAUAGAGAGUGAUGCAUUAAAGUAGUCAAGGACCGGCGGCCAUUCUGGCAGCAUGAAACUCCUGACAGGCUCCCUUUAGUGUUGAGCCAACAUACAAACCUGUGCUUGCUUUGUGCCAGGAUCAUAUGACCUGAAUGGGAGCUGUAUACAGAGAGAAUAUGCAUUGUGGCACCCUUUAAUAUAGCAGUCACGUCAUGUGUACUCUGGAUGGUACUAUUGGAAGUGAACUGAAGUUAUGAAACUUUCACUGUUGACAGUCUAACCACAAUAGUGUUGUAUCAUCAUGUUGGUUGAAACAAAACAGAUUAGAAAGAACCAUGGGAAUACUCAUGCUAAAUCAUAUUGCGUCCAUGGGACCACUAUCUUAACCCCAAUCUACAUAGCUGAUCGAAAGCAAUAAAAUUCUUAUUUUGUCUUCUGUCAAACAAGAAAAACCAAAGAUGUUAAAAGACUUUUGCAACCAGAGAGAUAACAUUGCUUUCCUAUCUGAUGGCAAAUGUUUUACAUAAUGGCUACCACUAAGAUUGCACAUUUAUGUGGCGGGUUAAUUUAAUAAUAACUGUGUCAUUCAAAUGGUGCAUAUAACCACGAUCUAAUACGGAUCUCCAAUAUAUGUAUAUUGUUCAGUAGUUCUUUACUAUGAAAAUCCCCCUAAGGGUGCGUUCACACGCUAUUACUAGCAGCGGGUUGCCCGCUGCAGGAAAUCCGCUGUGAGUUACGCUACCAUUCAUUUGAAUGGGUCCGCGGACAGUCCGCAAAUCUGACACUAUUGCGGACUGUCUGUGGACCCAUUUAAAUCAAUGGUAGCGUAACUCGCAGCUGGCAACCUGCUGCUAGUAAUAGCGUGUGAGCGCGCACCCUAAAUGAGAGCUGAGUUUACCACAUGUAUCCCUGAGGAUGAAGCUUGGCAAAACACCCAGAAUGUCUAAACGUGGAACCAGAAUAUUAUGCAAAUGUUGAUGCCAAUACACAGUGGAAUUCUCCCAUUACAGUAAAAGGGGUGAAAAUCUGCAACUGAAAUUGACACAGCAAAAAAUGUGUUUUAACUCCAUACCACAAAUUGAUGUGGAUGAGUUUUAUAAAAAAAAAUAAAAAAAAAUCUAAUUUAUUCUUGCCUGGUUCUAUAUAAUCCACCGCAGAUUGUAACUGCACUAAUCCAUGUGUCAAAUUCACAGAAAAUCCAUCCUGUGCGACUUUACCCCAACAGAAAAACAUAUCUGGAGCCUAUAAGGGACCAUAGACGAAAAUGUGUUCAAUUAGACAGGAAAAAAUGAAAACUGAACUGUGAUUGUUGCUGUCUGUCUGAAAAAAGAUUGAUAAAUCUGGGCCGUUGAGCUCAGCAGGAGAGAGUGGCAGUGUCAUAGAAUGCUUGUAGGUAAAGCCUCUACAGUGGCUACCAAUUCCAUUGUAUUGUUUGCAUAAACCAUGCACUAUAGUGGUCCGCAGGUUGAAGACCACUGCACUAUACAUUCUUGCUAGAUGUAAGAGACACAUUGUGCAAGUAGUUGUAUGUAACUUGGGUAUUGUGUGCAAUUAAAGUGAUCUGUGAACUAAAUGUGUAUAUUGAGACAGUCCCCAAGUAAAUUGUGCAUUACAUUGGUCUGCAGUCCAUAGCCCUAGGUUUGUGAAACUACAAUUGCCAGCAUGCCCUGAUAAACUGUGUGUGCUAGAACAGCCAGAGCGGUACAGUUUGCAAACCCCUUCUUUAUUUUAAUGUUCUCCUGUUCCCAUGCAUUUUCCGUUAUAUGAUAACACCACUAUGCAUUUUCUUCAUGUUUUAGUUUGAUUUAUGCAGAUUUUUGAUACACUGUAUGUUUCUGUAGAAAUUGUACAGAUACUGAUGCAUUUUACAAUGGGUAUGGGGGUAUUCCUGUUAAUUUUGGGGGUUGCUUGUUUUUCUAGGUGCAAGA